GACGUAGGGCGCGAGCGUUGUCCGGAUUUAUUGGGCGUAAAGAGCUCGUAGGCGGCUUGUCGCGUCGUCCGUGAAAACCUGGGGCUCAACUCCAGGCUUGCGGUCGAUACGGGCAGGCUAGAGUUCGGUAGGGGAGAGUGGAAUUCCUGGUGUAGCGGUGAAAUGCGCAGAUAUCAGGAAGAACACCCGUGGCUAAGGCGGCUCUCUAGUACGGUACUGACGCUGAGACGCGAAAGCGUGGGGAGCGAACAGG
rnacentral:rRNA from 1 species